rnacentral:rRNA from 1 species
UACGUAGGGGGCUAGCGUUGUCCGGAUUUACUGGGCGUAAAGAGCGCGCAGGCGGUCGUUCAAGUCGCGUGUGAAAGCCCCCGGCUCAACUGGGGAGGGUCACGCGAUACUGAUCGACUCGAAGGCAGGAGAGGGUAGUGGAAUUCCCGGUGUAGUGGUGAAAUGCGUAGAUAUCGGGAGGAACCCCAGUGGCGAAGGCGACUACCUGGCCUGUUUCUUGACGCUGAGGCGCGAAAGCUAGGGGAGCAAACGGG